AGAACACCAGCUGAGAGCUGACAGGAGUACCUGACCAGAGGAAAAUAAUAAAUAGAACCACAAAACUCGGUAGGGUGAAGGAACUAGGGGUGGGGGGAACAGGAAUGGUAAUAGGCCUGGACCUGCCCUCGGUGGGUGGGAGAACUAUAAGUUGGUGUCCGACCCCCCACCUGGGAUCAACUGUCUGGAUCAGAGGAGAACUAUUUUAGGCUGAGAGUGAAACAGUUGAUCUGUGGGAGCCUAAAUGGAAUGAGAAUCAGACAGUCCUUGCCACAGUCAUACACACCCCAGACAGGGACACAGGUCCCAUAGAAGGGACAGCAGUUGGGAUCUGGAUUUUUCGGAUUGUGGAGCAAUCCCAGGGCAAGGGCUGCUAUUGACUGCAGAGAGAUGGACUGAUGGGAUGUGAGGAAGGAGAUCGGGAUGGGAAAUGCUUGUGGAGGAACACCAGGCCCCAUGGAAGCAAGGGGAUCCUACUGGGUCAAUCAUAGUAGGUGGAGCCAUCACCAUAGUCUCUUUCUCCCCAUACACCAGCAUAGGCAGCUGAACAAUAGAGAGGCUGGCCAAUCAAGUGCCUGACUUACUGAUCUGCAGACUAGGACCCCACCCAGGGGCCCCAUCUAUGUACCUGAUGCUCCAAACAACAGAGAAGUACCCCAGGUAAGGGAGCCCUCUAAGUGCCUGAAAGAGUGGAGCUAUGGAGGAAGAGUGGCAAAAGAGGCCUCCUUAUCACCAGCUACAAGAGGCUGGUGAAAAGACUCUGAUAGGGUCAAAACUUCUGCGGCAGAGGAGGUCAUUGUCCCUGCACAGUUAUCGCUACCAUGGUCCCCAGAGAUCAAGAAGCUAUGCCAAGUUCAUGCUCAAUGCUCGCUGGGGCGGAGCUGCUACAGGCCAAAAAAGUCUUGUGUCUAUGGAUACCUGGUCACUUCAGUUCAGUUCAGUUCAGUUCAGUUCAGU
rnacentral:sRNA from 1 species